rnacentral:rRNA from 1 species
GACGAACGCUGGCGGCGUGCUUAACACAUGCAAGUCGAACGGAAAGGCCCUGCUUUUGUGGGGGGCUCGAGUGGCGAACGGGUGAGUAACACGGGAGUAACCUGCCCUUGACUGUGGGAUAACUUCAGGAAACUGGGGCUAAUACCGGAUAGGAGCUCCUGCUGCAUGGGGGGGGUUGGAAAGUUUCGGCGGUUGGGGAUGGACGCGCGGCUUAUCAGCUUGUUGGUGGGGUAGUGGCUUACCAAGGCUUUGACGGGUAGCCGGCCUGAGAGGGUGACCGGCCACAUUGGGACUGCGAUACGGCCCAGACUCCUACGGGAGGCAGCAGUGGGGAAUAUUGCACAAUGGGCGGAAGCCUGAUGCAGCAACGCCGCGUGCGUGAUGACGGCCUUCGGGUUGUAAACCGCUUUCGCCUGUGACGAAGCGUGGGUGACGGUAAUGGGUAAAGAAGCACCGGCUAACUACGUG